UACAGAGGGUGCGAGCGUUAAUCGGAAUUACUGAGCGUAAAGGGCGCGUAGGUGGUUAGUUAAGAUUGAUGUGAAAUCCCUGGGCUUAACCUAGGAAUGGCAUCGAUGACUGGCUAGCUGGAGUACUGUAGAGGGUAGUGGAAUUUCCGGUGUAGCGGUGAAAUGCGUAGAGAUCGGAAGGAACACCAGUGGCGAAGGCGACUAUCUGGACAGAUACUGACACUGAGGCGCGAGAGCGUGGGUAGCAAACAGG
rnacentral:rRNA from 1 species